CCUGUGUGCGUAUGGAUUCUGUGGGUUGGCUUGAAAGGAUGACCUUUUGUUGGCGGAGUAAUUUUAGUUUUCGUUGGCGCCCAAGACAAAGCAGGCUUUCAACCCACCCGCAGCAUAUAGGCGGCCAGGAUUUUUUUCAAUGAGAUUGUAGGAAAUUUGCCAAGUCGUUUGGGGCCUGUAAAUUAGGCCUUGUUUAAAAAUUUAGAUAAAGCCCGAUGUGAGAGAGAAAUGCUUUCAUAACACGAAACGGGAAUCACGCUGAAAACCCCUUUCAAGUUAAAUGGAACCGUUCUCGGGAAGCACAGGGACAUGAAAUGCUUCAAAUGUCAAAAGAGUUUUCAUUUGUUGUCCCAAGUGAAACGAAGGCGUUUUAUGUGGCUUUCUAGUUGAGACGCACAUGUAAAUGGAAUUCGUUUGGAGAAUGCCCCUCCUGUUUCGGAAUCCGUUGUCACAGACCUGCCUGAUUCCAUCCCAUCUGUGCUGUAACCCCGCGAGGGGUGGGUCCCCCCCCGUCCCCGGUGUCCCGAGAGGAGGAGAGCCGUUCUGUGAUGUGCGCUCCUGCCACCAGCAUGGCACCUUUAAGCCACAACAAAACUGGAAGUAUUGUCACGUCUUCAACUUGCCUUCCGAAGAGGCCAACUGUUGGACCGUCUGGAGGGGGUCUCGUGGAUAACCAGUGAAAGGUGUCGGGGUUGGCUUCUGUGGUAAAAAUGAAGGAGAAUAAUGGACCUUAUCUGGAAGGGUUGUUGCAAACAUUGAAUAAGAUAAAGCAUAUGAGGGCACAA